rnacentral:SRP_RNA from 1 species
GCCGGACGCGGUGGCGCGCGCCUGUAGUCCCAGCUACCCGGGAGGCUGAGGCAGGAGGAUCGCUUGAGUCCAGGAGUUCUGGGCUGUAGUGCGCUAUGCCGAUCGGGUGUCCGCACUAAGUUCGGCAUCAAUAUGGUGACCUCCCGGGAGCGGGGGACCACCAGGUUGCCUAAGGAGGGGUGAACCGGCCCAGGUUGGAAACGGAGCAGGUCAAAACUCCCGUGCUGAUCAGUAGUGGGAUCGCGCCUGUGAAUAGCCACUGCACUCCAGCCUGGGCAACAUAGCGAGACCCCGUCUCU